AUUAUUUGGCCUAAAGCGUCCGUAGCCAGCUUUGUAAAUCUCCCGUUAAAUCCAACGUCCUAAGCGUUGGGCUGCGAGAGACACUGCAGAACUAGAGGGUGGGAGAGGUCAGCGGUAUUCCUGGGGUAGGGGCGAAAUCCAUUGAUCCCAGGAGGACCACCAGUGGCGAAGGCUGCUGACUUGAACACGCCUGACGGUCAGGGACGAAAGCUGGGGUAGCGAAUCGGAUUAGAUACCCGAGUAGUCCCAGCCGUAAACGAUGCAGGCUAGGUGUUGGGUUGGCCACGUGCCAGCUCAGUGCCACAGGGAAGCCAUUAAGCCUGCCGCCUGGGGAGUACGCCGCAAGGC
rnacentral:rRNA from 1 species